CUGGACUGAUUGUCCAUGAUCCUGUGGCUUUCGUGGAAAUCGAAAGGUCGAUUUCGGUGCGUUUUUCGACGAAAUUCGUCGAAAGAACGCGAUUUCGGUUCGGAUUCCUUCCGACAGUGCUUCGUGAUGAAUUGUGUAGUCGCUGAGCCUUGUUGGCUGGUCACUCGCAUCAUUUUGAAGGUUCGGAAAAUGACGGGUGAGCGACGGUAGGUUCCGGUGUCGAAUUAGACACUUCCGGGAACCCGGAUCGAAACGAUUAUCCGACGAUAAUUGUUUCGACACGAGGAGUUAUGUUCGCUGCCAUGAUGCACGAUUAUUUAUGUUUAGUAGCAGCAGGUGACUCGUAGCUCGAGUCGGUAUGUUCCGGGACAGUUCGUGGCUCCCGGCGGAGUCCCCGUGCGAUUAUGGGACUUCCGGCGUAUUACGGCGAUCGGUUUGGGAAACCGAUCUCCAUGGGUUUGCUUGUAGGUUGUGGAUCUAGUGAUUAUUAGCUGUGGGUUAGACACUAACCCGGUGGACCUUCCUUAGGUCCGGUUGACGUCCUUUUGCAGUCAGGAGACAGGCGCAGCAUUGGUACAGGUGGGUACUUCGAUCCGACGUCGGUACAGUGGUGCACGCUCGGUGAUGGUUUCCUACCUCUGUUCUCUCGUUAUUAUCUGGCAUUUAUAUAUAUAUCUUGAUAUAUAGUAUUGAGCUUGCAUCCCCGUUGUUUUUAUUAUACUCUACUCAUAUGUUUCCUUGCUUAGUAUCAUGUGUAGGAGUAGAGUAGUUUAUCCAUACGUGAUCCCGGUGACCUGAUUGGUCAGUUCUCGUACUUCGUUUCGGUGACCUAGUUGAUCGGUGCUUUUAUCUUAUAUCUGUUGACCUGGUUGGUCGGUUGUUGCAUUAUGUAGUGGGUUGGUCUAUUUCUUGACUUCUGUCGUUCGAUGACCUUGAGGUCGGUGUACCCUGAGGGGUAGGAUUGUCGGCUGGCGCUGACGGUAGUUCUGGACUAUAUCGAAUACACUCCUGUGACCUAUCGGUCGGUUCUUGCGUUCGUACUUUUAGUUGACAUCGAGCAGUAUCUACAUACCAUCUUUAUUUACUCUGCCUAGUUGUUCUAUGUGUAGUAUCCUGUAUAGGGGUAGAGUAGACGACAUUCGUAUAUACUAUACUUGUGACCUGGUUGGUCGGUUCUCCUAUUUGCAUCGGUGACCUGUUUGGUCGUUCGUUACUUUCCGUACAUUGACCUAUCUCGGUCGGUUCACGUUGUUACUUGAUGACCUACACGGUCGGUAUGCCCAGAGGGGCAGUGAUUGUCGGCUGAUUGCCGACGGUUGGCUAUUGAUCAUAUCCGCAUUGAUCGCCACAGCUCGAGUGCAUUUCACGUACACCAGCGGGUUGAUCCCCCGCAGGAGGGUGUUCUUUUCCGGAAAAGUGGUCGUACAUCCGACCCGUGAGCCCAGCGGUGUUCUCUUGUGCUAGGGUUACAUGCCAGGUGUGAGCAGAUAGUGGCUUUUGCCUGAGGUCCUUAGACCGACACGGCGGUUUAGAUUGGGUACUUUUGGACUUCUCGUCCGGUUGACGCAUAUAGCUAUAGUAGCGGUUGUUGCAUAUAUACUUCUAGUUCUUUCUUUACAGUUGUCUUGCUACUAUAGUUUUGAUAUCCUUGUAUGCUUGCAGUUGUACAUUACAGUAGCGGUAGUUGUGCUUUCAUAUAUAUAUCUCAUUCGUUCAUUAUCGUUGCUACUGUAUUUUACUUACCCAUACUGUUGUUUAUCUCUUCCUGAUCCGGUGAGUACUCCUCGCCUUCUUCGGCUUGCGGUACCCACUGGGAGGGGAGACAUGUUUACAUGUUCUCACCUCCCCCACUAUUUUUCAGGUACUGCAGACGUUGAGUUUUGGGACGAGACGUGAGGUACGUUCGUAGCGGUCGAUAGAGCUUCCGACCCAGGUUAUCGGUUUAGUUUUAUCCCUACUAUUCUGUUGUUAUAGCUUAGUCAGUUUAUAUGGUUCAGUAUUUUUAUUACAUUGGAAUAUAUGGACUUUCAUGAACGUAUUAAAAGGAUUUCUGGAUUUGGUAAAAUAAAAGGUUUUCUACCCCUCGUGGUAGCUUCUAUAAAAGAUAAAAGUUUUCGCGUACGAAACAGUUUUCAAAAGAUUUUUCGUGGACUUCUGUUUAAACAUCGAAUGUAAAACUACGGUGUGAAUGGUGAAUGUAUGAAUGUAUAGCUAUCUGUAUAUUCAUUUGAUUGUGGUUGUAUACUGUUUGUACUUUUGUACUUGUGUGACGCCGUGCAAGUACAGGGGAGACUCUGUCCGUGUGAACAGUGGAUUCCCUGUAUUUGUGGCGGAUCUGGCAUACUCUGGGGUCAGGUUUUCAAAAAAAAUUCAAACGCUUUUCCGCUGUGUUUCAAACAAAAAGGGGACCCCGGGGCGUGACAGAUUAAAAUGGUAUCAGAGCAAAGGUUACAACCACAACACCAUUCACAGGUUGUUUUGAAAAGUAAAUGAAACUGAACCAUUGGUUAGGUUGACCUAUAGGAAGACCUACGGUAUAUAGGCACGUGAGUGCGUGGUUUGGGCUUGUGUCCCGGUGUGCAUUCGAGUUUGUUAAACUCGAAGUGUAUGGUUCCUGUAUGUGUUACGGUUCGCACAAGCUGGUGUCUAAGUCGGGUGUAGUGGCGGUGUACUUUUUCGGACAUUGAGUGGUGGGGCGACGUCCCCCAGGUGUAGCCAUUCCUGUCAGGUGGGACCUUGAAAGGCCAGUGAUCUCUGGGCCUAGGCGAGUGUCAUGACUGCCGACGCCCAGGCCACUCUCUCUACUUAGGACACGAGAGCUAUUGCGAGUGUCUCCACGGAGACGGUGCUUAGACCAGUUACGGUCGCGACUUCAGUGGGGCUACUAGGGUGUAGCCCAGGGUUUGGUAGCAGUCGUUUAGGCGACUGCAUUGUUAGUGUUGCUUCCGCAGACCUUUGGGUAGAGUUGUGAUGCCUACCUAUCCUCCUUGAUUGCUGAUUCGAAUCAGCAGUUCAGAUCUGUUGACCUUGAACUCGUUCAUUCUUCCUACUAGAAUCGGAUUGACACAGUUUUGGUGUCAAGUUUUCGUUAAGGCAUACACCGUAUGCGAUUAUUCUAACACCCAAGUUGGUGUGUUGUGGGUUAAUUUGUGAUAGGUUUCGUCUUGAUUCGAGGGACUCCAGUGUUAGUGUCGGAAUUAUCGGAGCUUUGAUUAUAGCUCGGUUAUGGUGCGGAAAUCGGUUAGGAAAAUCAUUUCCUGAAGCCUCAGUUGGUACUGUUUGCGGCUUAGAGUCGCUAGUAGCUUGUGGAUCUUGAAAGCGAUAAGACUCCCGGUGAGUCGAUUCAGGGUCGUUCUAAUUUCGAAUGUCGACUUGUAAAGUCGAUGUUUCGAUAGUAAUGAUUGUGAGCUUCUGGUUCAGUGAAGAGGUAUCAGGUGGCUUGAUACUUCGACGUGUCACACUUCCAACUCGUUGUUGGUAGUGGAUCUUCGGAUAUUUCGCUUUUCUUUUGAUAAGUAUAUUGGCUGCAGACAAUAUACUGUCGAAAGAGGAACGAAAUA
rnacentral:lncRNA from 1 species